AGAGUUUGAUUAUGGCUCAGGAUGAACGCUGGCGGCGUGCCUAAUACAUACAAGUCGAACGGGGAGUAUUAAUUUCGAUUUUUACUCCUAGUGGCGAACGGGUGAGUAACGCGUUGGUGACCUGCCCCGAAGCGGGGGAUAACAGUUCGAAAGGACUGCUAAUACCCCAUGUGGUCGUACAGGUUAGAGGCUGAACGACUAAAGGAGCAAUCCACUUCGGGAGGGGCCUGCGUCCCAUCAGCUAGUUGGUAAGGUAACGGCCUACCAAGGCGAUGACGGGUAGGGGACCUGAGAGGGUGGUCCCCCACACUGGCACUGAAACACGGGCCAGACACCUACGGGUGGCAGCAGUAGGGAAUAUUGCACAAUGGGCGAAAGCCUGAUGCAGCAACGCCGCGUGCGCGAAGAAGGCCUUCGGGUUGUAAAGCGCUUUUCUGGAGGAAGAGAAAGGACGGUACUCCAGGAAUAAGGAUCGGCUAACUACGUGCCAGCAGCCGCGGUAACACGUAGGAUCCGAGCGUUAUCCGAAUUUACUGGGCGUAAAGCGCGUGUAGGCGGCCGGGUAAGUUGGACGUGAAAGCUCCUGGCUCAACUAGGAGAGGUCGUUCAAAACUGCCUGGCUAGAGGGCGACAGAGGGAGGUGGAAUUCCCGGUGUAGUGGUGAAAUGCGUAGAUAUCGAGAGGAACACCAGUGGCGAAGGCGGCCUCCUGGGUCGCUCCUGACGCUCAGACGCGAAAGCUAGGGGAGCAAACGGGAUUAGAUACCCCGGUAGUCCUAGCUGUAAACGAUGUGGACUUGGCGUUGGUGGUGUCAAAGCCAUCAGUGCCGUA
rnacentral:rRNA from 1 species